rnacentral:rRNA from 1 species
GAUGAACGCUGGCUACAGGCUUAACACAUGCAAGUCGAGGGGAAACGACGGGGAAGCUUGCUUCCCCGGGCGUCGACCGGCGCACGGGUGAGUAACGCGUAUCCAACCUGCCUCUGACUGAGGGAUAACCCGUCGAAAGUCGGCCUAAUACCUCAUGGUAUCGUCUGCGGGCAUCCAACGACGAUUAAAGAUUUCAUCGGUCAGGGAUGGGGAUGCGUCUGAUUAGCUUGUUGGCGGGGUAACGGCCCACCAAGGCUACGAUCAGUAGGGGUUCUGAGAGGAAGGUCCCCCACAUUGGAACUGAGACACGGUCCAAACUCCUACGGGAGGCAGCAGUGAGGAAUAUUAGUCAAUGGGCGAGAGCCUGAACCAGCCAAGUAGCGUGCAGGAAGACGGCCCUAUGGGUUGUAAACUGCUUUUAUGCGGGGAUAAAGUGAGGGACGUGUCCCUCAUUGCAGGUACCGCAUGAAUAAGGACCGGCUAAUUCCGUG